rnacentral:misc_RNA from 1 species
AGUCUUGCUUGACUUCAGAUAGAAUCCGGUGUUGAAUAAUUACUGACAAUUACAUGCAUAAAUGCAUUCACACAAGGUGAUCGGAGUAAAUGUAGUAAUACUGCGUAAAGCAGCAUCAAACGUUGUGAAGAGAGCAAAUAUGCUCACCCACUUCAUGAUUGGUAUCCGUAACCUGUUGUCGGUUAGGAGAGAGAAGGAUAAUUUGGGAUACACUGAAGCAAACAUACCUCUCGCCAGGCGGAGGUGCAAGUUGCAUUCGAAAUUCUGAUGACUCACGGUCUGCAAUUCGCAUUGCUUAUCGCACUUUGCUGCGUUCUUCAUCGAUAUGAGAGCCAAGACAUCCACCGUUGAGAAUUUAAUUUUCUUUAUUGACAACACAAAGUGUUGUAACUUGUUGUAUUUUGAGUGCGAUACUUCUAUCAAACACAGGCUUAGUUUGUAACGGAAUAUUAUGAUUGAUCCUUCC